GUAGUCCACGCCCUAAACGAUGCACAUUUGGUGUGGGCCAUUCAGUUGGUCCGUGCCGGAGCUAACGCGUUAAAUGUGCCGCCUGGGGAGUACAGUCGCAAGGCUGAAACUCAAAGGAAUUGACGGGGGCCCGCACAAGCGGUGGAGCAUGUGGUUCAAUUCGACGCAACGCGAAGAACCUUACCUGGGCUCGAACGGCUCACGCCGACUCUGGAAACAGGGUUUUCCCGCAAGGGACGGGAGUCGAGGUGCUGCAUGGCUGUCGUCAGCUCGUGUCGUGAGAUGUUGGGUUAAGUCCCGCAACGAGCGCAACCCUUGUCCUGUGUUGCCAUGCCGAAAGGCGGAACUCGCAGGAGACCGCCAGCGAUAAGCUGGA
rnacentral:rRNA from 1 species